UGGGGAAUAUUGCGCAAUGGGGGGAACCCUGACGCAGCCAUGCCGCGUGAAUGAAGAAGGCCUUAGGGUUGUAAAGUUCUUUCGGUAUUGAGGAAGGUUGAUGUGUUAAUAGCACAUCAAAUUGACGUUAAAUACAGAAGAAGCACCGGCUAACUCCGUGCCAGCAGCCGCGGUAAUACGGAGGGUGCGAGCGUUAAUCGGAAUAACUGGGCGUAAAGGGCACGCAGGCGGUUAUUUAAGUGAGGUGUGAAAGCCCCGGGCUUAACCUGGGAAUUGCAUUUCAGACUGGGUAACUAGAGUACUUUAGGGAGGGGUAGAAUUCCACGUGUAGCGGUGAAAUGCGUAGAGAUGUGGAGGAAUACCGAAGGCGAAGGCAGCCCCUUGGGAAUGUACUGACGCUCAUGUGCGAAAGCGUGGGGAGCAAACAGGAUUAGAUACCCUGGUAGUCCACGCUGUAAACGCUGUCGAUUUGGGGGUUGGGGUUUAACUCUGGCGCCCGUAGCUAACGUGGUAAAUCGACCGCCUGGGGAGUACGGCCGCAAGGUUA
rnacentral:rRNA from 1 species